rnacentral:misc_RNA from 1 species
CGCCGCUCGUUCGGCGGCCUUGACGGGAAUUGUAAAUAAAAGCACCGCACCCGCCAGGCGCAGAACCACUUGAACCAACCACAUAAGAUCAACCUGAAUAGCAUACGGAUGACGACCCGACUUACGUCGCGCGUUCGGCUAAUUGCUCAGGUAAGGUGCUUGGGUGGCGGCGUAUCGAGCCACAGAGGGUUGGCGUGAAGAAGGUGUUGA